CUCGACCUACGGGACGCAGCAGUAGGGAAUCUUCCACAAUGGGCGAAAGCCUGAUGGAGCAACGCCGCGUGGGUGAAGAAGGUCUUCGGAUCGUAAAACCCUGUUGUUAGGGAAGAAAGUGCGUGAGAGUAACUGUUCACGUUUCGACGGUAUCUAACCAGAAAGCCACGGCUAACUACGUGCCAGCAGCCGCGGUAAUACGUAGGUGGCAAGCGUUAUCCGGAUUUAUUGGGCGUAAAGGGAACGCAGGCGGUCUUUUAAGUCUGAUGUUAAAGCCUUCGGCUUAACCGUCGUAAUGCAUUGGA
rnacentral:rRNA from 1 species